UAACUGCGAGUGAAGCGGGAAAAGCUCAAAUUUAAAAUCUGGCGGUCUUUGGCUGUCCGAGUUGUAAUCUAGAGAAGUGUUGCCUGCAUUGGACCGUGUACAAGUCUUCUGGAAUGAAGCGUCAUAGAGGGUGAGAAUCCCGUCUUUGACACGGACUCCCAAUGUAUUGUGGCAUGCUCUCAAAGAGUCGAGUUGUUUGGGAAUGCAGCUCUAAAUGGGUGGUAACCUCCAUCUAAAGCUAAAUAUUGGCAAGAGACCGAUAGCGAACAAGUACCGUGAGGGAAAGAUGAAAAGAACUUUGGAAAGAGAGUUAAACAGUACGUGAAAUUGUUGAAAGGGAAACGCUUGAAGUCAGUCACAUUUGCCAGGGAUCAGCCUAGCUCUUUUGCUUGGUGUACUUCCUGGUUGAUGGGCCAAUGUCAGUUUUGACUGCCAGACAAGGGCAGAGGGAAUGUGGCACCUCCGGGUGUGUUAUAGCCUUCUGUCAUAUAUGUCAGUUGGGACUGAGGAAUGCAGCAUGCCGCAAGGCCAGGUCAUUUUGACCAUGUUCAUGCUUUGGAUGUUGGCAUAAUGGCUUUAAUCGACCCGUCUUGAAACACGGACCAAGGAGUCUAACAUGCCUGCGAGUGUUUGGGUGGAAAACCCGGGCGCAUAAUGAAAGUAAAAGUUGAGAUCCCUGUCGUAGGGGAGCAUCGACGCCCGGACCUGAGCUUUUAGCAAUGGAUCUGCGGUAGAGCAUGUAUGUUGGGACCCGAAAGAUGGUGAACUAUGCCUGAAUAGGGCGAAGCCAGAGGAAACUCUGGUGGAGGCUCGUAGCGAUUCUGACGUGCAAAUCGAUCGUCGAAUUUG
rnacentral:rRNA from 1 species